CCCAGCUCUACUUCGAAGUUGGGGCGGGGACUUGAUAAUAGAAAAGGGAGAACUCUGGGGGGACCAGGAGGGGGAAGCCACCCGGCAGAGCUUCAUCCUUCGCACUACCGACGGAGCCCAACAUUCUUGGCGACCUCUGCCUCCCGCCCCAGAGACGAUAAGUUGAACGUGGCAGGGCUCUCUUAAAGGAACCUCUCGUGCAGUGCAGGGUCGGGGUAGGGUCGGGUAGGGUGGGGGUAGGCUGGAGAAGAGCAGUCCUGACACUCAUGAUUGUUGCAGGUAGUAAGGACCUGGGAGGCUUGACUUUCUGGUUUGACUGGCUACUCCAUUGUCUUUGCAGUGCCAAGGUCUGCUGGGUGAAGGUCCGGCCAGAAGGAUUUCCCCUGAGGCUGGUUGUCAAGGGGCAGAGAGUGGCAUCAGAGCCACAGGCCAGAGCCAGUAGUGUUUCAGAGAUGAGCCUCUCCUGGACUUGGAAUGUGGAGUUUGUUUUGCGAGGAAGGGCUGAAUCAAAUGCCAUUGUGCCUUCACACCCCACGUCCUUCACCAAUUCGUGGCUGAUUGGCAUCUGGACUGCUUUUAUAUCUCAAUUGUUGUGGAUAGAACAGCAAUAAACAUGGAUGUGACCGUGCUUCUGUGGAUCUAGCAUCCUGGAUUCGUUUGGUAUCCAGCAUCGAGAUACCUGGACCAUACGGUAGUUCUAUCUUUAGAUGUCAGAGGAAACUGGAGUGAUCUCCACAGUGGCUGCAACCAUUCACGGUCCCAUCAGCGGUGAGCAGCAUCCCUUACUCUGCCGCCCAUCCUCACUGGCAUCUUUUGUCAGCCAUCUUCUUGGCGAUGGCCAUCCUGACUGGGGUGAGAUGGAAUCUCGAAGCAGCUUUAAUUUGCAUUUUCCCGGUGGAUGUUUAACUUCUAUCCCUUUCAAAUAUUUACGACCAUUCGUAUUUAAUCUCCUGAGAAGCGUUUGUUCAACUCAUUUGCUCACCUGUCAGUGAGACGGUUUGGGGUUUCCGUGUUCAAUUUUGUCUCGUUCUUUGUAUAUUCUAGAUAUUAAGGCCCCAUCCGACAUAGAGUUAGCAAAGAUUUUUCUCCCGUUCUAUAGGUUGACUCUUUACUGUUGUUUCCUUCUUUGUGCAGAAACUUUUCAGAGUCCAUGCAAUCCCAAUUCUUAGGGUCACUUUCUGGGCAACUGGGGUGCUGGUAAGAAUUCCUUGUCUUUGCCUGUACCUUGAGGUGUUUUCCUCCAGCAAGUUCAGAGUUGCGAACUUGGUUCUGUUUUUGGGUUGAUUUUUGUGCAGGGUGAGAAACGCGUGGUUUUAUUCUUCUACAUAGGUGCAUUACUUUUCUGUCGCUGUGAUUUAAAAAACAAAAGUCUCCACUGAAGGCAACUUAAGAAGAGAGAGU